GAAAUGCGAUAAGUAGUGUGAAUUGCUGAAUUCAGUGAAUCAUCGAAUCUUUGAACGCACAUUGCGCCCUUUGGUAUUCCAAAGGGCAUGCCUGUUCGAGCGUCAUUUGUACCCUCAAGCUUUGCUUGGUGUUGGGCGUCUUGUCUCUAGCUUUGCUGGAGACUCGCCUUAAAGUAAUUGGCAGCCGGCCUACUGGUUUCGGAGCGCAGCACAAGUCGCACUCUCUAUCAGCAAAGGUCUAGCAUCCAUUAAGCCUUUUUUCAACUUUUGACCUCGGAUCAGGUAGGGAUACCCGCUGAACUUAAGC
rnacentral:misc_RNA from 1 species